GACGUAGGGGGCGAGCGUUGUCCGGAAUUAUUGGGCGUAAAGAGCUCGUAGGCGGUUUGUCGCGUCUGCCGUGAAAGUCCGGGGCUCAACUCCGGAUCUGCGGUGGGUACGGGCAGACUAGAGUGAUGUAGGGGAGACUGGAAUUCCUGGUGUAGCGGUGAAAUGCGCAGAUAUCAGGAGGAACACCGAUGGCGAAGGCAGGUCUCUGGGCAUUAACUGACGCUGAGGAGCGAAAGCAUGGGGAGCGAACAGG
rnacentral:rRNA from 1 species